rnacentral:sRNA from 1 species
AAUUGUGGGAGCUAAGAACAUAAAUUACCCCACGACCCAGUUUCCAGCAUAGCAGUCAAGUGGUCAGGGAGGCAGAGGUCUGCAGGGAAGGAGAACUCCCAGAGACUCUUAUAAUGAAACCCCUUCACCGGCUUCAACUCACAGCCUAUCUUAUAGAACUUCAUCUGCCUCCUCUGGACAGGGGAUUUUUUCUUUCAGACCAUCCCCAAAUGGGCAUUCAGGCCACACAAGAGUCCUCACCCCCAACAAUUUUGCUCAGAGGGAGAGCACAACUACACUAGAGAGUCUUCCUAGUUUCCAGCUACCAGUCCUGCAGACUCUCUACCAACAACGGAGGCAUAUGGGAUUACCCAGUGGGAGAGAAGCAUGGACCACUUCUAGAUAGAUCAUCUUCAAGAUCUGAUCUAUACAUGCUGCUGAAGGAUGGACUGUAGCUUCCAGUACACAUUAGGGGUGAUGGCCCUGGAAAAUUUACUAUUAAAUGUUAAUUUUCCUUUCUAUUGAAAA